UACGGCCACAUCACGUUGAAACGCCGGUUUCCGUACGAUCGUCAAAGUUAAGCAAUGUCGAGCCUGGUCAGUAGCCAGACGGGUGAUCGCUUACGAAUACUAGAUGCU